UACGUAGGGGGCAAGCGUUGUCCGGAAUCACUGGGCGUAAAGCGCGCGCAGGCGGCGAUCUACGUCUGGGGUGAAAACCCGGGGCUCAACCCCGGGACUGCCUUGGAUACGGGAAGACUUGAGGAUCGGAGAGGCAAGGGGAAUUCCACGUGUAGCGGUGAAAUGCGUAGAGAUGUGGAGGAACCCCUGUGGCGAAGGCGCCUUGCUGGCCGAUUUCUGACGCUGAGGCGCGAAAGCGUGGGGAGCAAACCGG
rnacentral:rRNA from 1 species